rnacentral:rRNA from 1 species
UUUGGUGGCGAUGGCGGAGGGGUUCCA